rnacentral:rRNA from 1 species
GAUGAACGCUGGCGGCGUGCCUAAUACAUGCAAGUCGAGCGAACAGACGAGGAGCUUGCUCCUCUGACGUUAGCGGCGGACGGGUGAGUAACACGUGGAUAACCUACCUAUAAGACUGGGAUAACUUCGGGAAACCGGAGCUAAUACCGGAUAAUAUAUUGAACCGCAUGGUUCAAUAGUGAAAGACGGUUUUGCUGUCACUUAUAGAUGGAUCCGCGCCGCAUUAGCUAGUUGGUAAGGUAACGGCUUACCAAGGCAACGAUGCGUAGCCGACCUGAGAGGGUGAUCGGCCACACGGGAACUGAGACACGGUCCAGACUCCUACGGGAGGCAGCAGUAGGGAAUCUUCCGCAAUGGGCGAAAGCUUGACGGAGCAACGCCGCGUGAGUGAUGAAGGUCUACGGAUCGUAAAACUCUGUUAUUAGGGAAGAACAAAUGUGUAAGUAACUAUGCACGUCUGGACGGUACCUAAUCAGAAAGCCACGGCUAACUACGU